rnacentral:lncRNA from 1 species
AACCUACAAAAGAAAUACGAAAAAUAGAAGAAACUAAAAAUAGUAGGAUUGCUAAAUUAGAAAAAGAAUUACAAAUGCUAAAAGAUCUGUAUGAAAAAAGACAAAAAGAAAAGAAGAAAAAGAUAAAGAGCAAAAAUUAUUAAUUGAGAUAAUCAAUUUAAAGAAAAAUUAGAAAAAGAAAAUAAAAGAAUAGAAACUAAUGAAAUAGAAAUAAAUACAAUAGAUGCAGAAGAAACAGAUAAUUAUGAUUUGAAAGAUAGUGAAACAUAUACAGAAAUCUUAACAAAUAUAGAAAAGUUAGAAAUCAAUGAAAAACAAGAAGUAAAUAAUAAAGAAAAC